rnacentral:rRNA from 1 species
CGGAGGAAAAGAAACUAACAAGGAUUCCCCUAGUAGCGGCGAGCGAAGCGGGAAAAGCCCAAUAUGAAAAUCCAGUUUACUGGAGUUGUAUCGUCUUCUUUUGGAAUUUCAGUGCGAGUAAGUAGCAUGGAAAUGCUCACCGAGGAGGGUUAGAGUCCCGUCCAUCUCGUUCAGGAAGUUCCGUACAAAAGUUGACAAGUGAGUCGGGUAGCUUGGGACUGCUGCUCUAACUGGUGGUAAAUCUCAUCAAAGGCUAAAUAAUGGUGGGAGACCGAUAGUGAACAAGUACCGCGAGGGAAAGAUGACAAGCACUUUGAAAAGAGGGUGAAAAGAGCCUGAAACCGUUACGAGGGAAGCGGAUUGCGUUGGAGUAUGGCUUGCUACAUGUUCAGCCGUUUCGGUGUACUCAUGUUAGCAGUUAUCCGUUGUGGCUUUUCUGCGGCGUUGCUGCGGGAGGGUGAGGGCUCCCCUUUAUGGGUGAGGACGACGGUGUGACGACGCGAUACGACCCGUCUUGAAACACGGACCAAGGAGUCUAGCACUAUUGCGAGUCGAAGGGUUUAAACCCGUGGGCGCAGUGAAAGCGAACUGUGAAAAACGAGCAGUUUGGGGCGGCAUAAAAUCGUUGAUUUUAAGACUGACCUAGAGCAGUUGUGCUGGGACCCGAAAGAUGGUGAACUAUGCCGGAGUAGGGCAAAGCCAGAAGAAAUUCUGGUGGAGGCUCGUAGCGGUGCUGACGUGCAAAUCGCUCGUCGAACUUGGGUAUAGGGGCGAAAGACUCAUCGAACCAUCUAGUAGCUGGUUCCCUCCGAAGUUUCUCUCAGGAUAGCGGGCCGACAGACGUUGUUUUGUGCGGUAAAGCGAAUGAUUAGCGUAUUUGGGGACAUUUGGUCUUCGGGCGAUUCUCAAACUUUAAAUGCGCAAGGGUGCCGCUGCUUUAUUGAGCGGUACCGAUAAAAACGUCGGCCUCGUGGGCCACUUUUGGUAAGCAGAACUGGCGAUACGGGAUGAACCGUAAGCAUGGUUAAGGCGCCAAAUUGCCCGCUUAUAGAUCCCACAAAAGGUGUUGAUUCAUCGAGACAGCAGGACGGUGGCCAUGGAAGUCGGAAUCCGCCAAGGAGUGUGUAACAACUCACCUGCCGAAUGAAUUAGCCCUGAAAAUGGAUGGCGCUAAAGCGGGCAGCCGACACCAUGCCGUCUGUUUAAGGUAGAUAACAGAUGAGUAGGAGGGCGUGGUGGCCGUAUCGAAGCAUGCGUGCGAACGCGUGUGGAACGGCCACUAGUGCAGAUCUUGGUGGUAGUAGCAAAUAUUCAAGCGAGAUCCUUGAAGGGCGAAGCGGGGAAGGGUUCCACGCGAACAUUGAUUGGGCGUGGGUGAGUCGUUCCUAAGCCGGGUGGUCAUUGCUAAAUAACGGCGAAAGGGAAGCGGGUUUAAAUUCCCGCACACGGAUGUGGAGGCGGCGACGCUUUGUUGGGGCGAAGACGCCGGCGGUGGCGCUGGGCAGAGAUGUCUUUUCUGUUUAACCAUGCUGAGUGCGGUGUGGAAUCCGCUUGUCGGGAGAAACACGCACACGAGGUAAGAGCGCCGGGACUUUUCCGGCGUCCAGCUCGCCAUCGACGGCCCUUGAAAAUUUGCCUGCUGGUAGGAUCCACGCCGUGGCGUACCGAUAACCGCAUCAGGUCCCCAAGGUGAACAGCCUCUGUCCAGUAUGAAUAAUGCAGGUAAGGGAAGUCGGCAAAUUGGACCCGUAACUUUGGGAAAAGGGUUGGCUCUAGUGCUGCGUGGGAGUGGUUGUCCGUUGUUGGCCGUAGUUGGCUAGCUGGACGGGCUGCGAGGCGACCCUUCRCGGGGGAGUUUGCGGCUUGACUGGUGGGCCGGUGCGAUCGCUGCGGACGGCGCCCACGGUGUGCAGCAGACUAGAACUGCAACGGGCAAAGGGAAUCCGACUGUUUAAUUAAAACAAAGCAUUGCGAGGGCCAUGGGUGGUGAUGACGCAAU